rnacentral:rRNA from 1 species
CACGUAGGCGGAUUGUUAAGUCAGAGGUGAAAUCCCGGAGCUCAACUUCGGAACUGCCUUUGAUACUGGCAAUCUAGAGUCCGGAAGAGGUUAGUGGAAUUCCCAGUGUAGAGGUGAAAUUCGUAGAUAUUGGGAAGAACACCAGUGGCGAAGGCGGCUAACUGGUCCGGUACUGACGCUGAGGUGCGAAAGCGUGGGGAAGCAAACA